CAACAAUUAAGUGACUUGUGGUCUCCCUCUGUGCUCCCCACACCCCAUGGAUUUCAUGGCUGUGAACCAUAGCCUCCCUGGUAGUUAUGUGGCCUAUUGUCUAGAUGGGCCACCCUAAGGAACCUUGGAGAUAGGC